UGUCUGGUUCAGGAAACCCGACCGACCCUAUUUUUUACCCGCCGACCCUAAACUUUUUUUUCGAAAUCGCGGCCGAAAACCGCUAUACUGCGUAUUGAAAAUUUUCUUUUCUGUAGUUAUUGCUCUUUGGGUUAAUAGAGCGCGUUUAUAUCGAUCUUUGGGUUAAUAGAGCGCACAACAAUGGCGGCGCCCAUGGCGUGUUCACCAGCCACUUUGAUGGCCAUAAAACUCCAAAAAUGUGAACAUGGAGCAGAGCGGCAGGUCAUGAAAGCGGUCCAGCAUGGUUGCCUAGCUAAUGCCUUAUAUGAUUUUGUGCAACACCACUCACAAUGUGCAUUUGUUACAAUGACAGAAUUCACAAAAGAGAUGUAUUAAAGUGACUUAUCUUUACAAGAUAUUUUAAACAAAAUUGUCGACAGAAAUCUUUAAAAAAUGGAAUUUUUAUAAAAUACUAGGUUGUACAUGAAUCUCUUUUGUGAACUCUUUGUGCAGGUUAGCAUUGUACAGAGGGUGACUAAAAGGCAUAGGGUACAUAAACAGCAAGCAUAGAAAAGGAAAAUAAUGUGAAUAAACAAAGAUGAUACAUGGUAUCUGAUGUUGUGUGUUGGCAGAAAUGCAGAGUGAUACCACCAGUCACCUGAGCCACCUUUCCCCUCACAGACGAGAGACUCGUCUGUCAGUGACAGUAGUUUCCAGAGUAGCACUGAAUUGCAUGAAGCCUUACAAACUUAAGCAGCCAUCCACUGACAGGCUGGAGUGAUUUGGAUUUCCAAUGCCACAUUUACCUUUGUGCUCAGUGACAAGCUGGCGCUUAGCUGCCAUGUCUGAUGAUCCUCAUUGAGUUUAAUGGUGUUUCUACUGGCCUUAUCAUCAAGUCUCUGCAUAUGACUUCUUGCAGUAGCUGAGAUAUCCAUAUAUGUGAGAAGCACAUUUGCCUUUGUUAUUCCAGCAGGCAUUUCCCUAAACCCAGAACCAAGAAACGUGUUUAUUGUGGCUCCCUUGCCAUCUUUGCACUCGCUAUACUGGCGUAAGUUACGGUGCACCAGGCAGGUCUUCCUGAUUUGGAAUCCACAUCUUCAGCUGAACUGCGGCAAGGAAUAAAAUCAGACUCCUUAGCAGCAUGGUGAGCUUUGUUUGUUUCCAGGAUGGCAAACUCCACCAGACUUCCUGAGUUUGAGCUUUUUAUGUAUUUUUUACAAAAAGUUACUUAGUGGAAUCACAACUGUGACACCUUUGGAGACUAGAUACAAAUUGAGGAACCAUGAUGUGUAGAAAGCCUUUAGGAUGCUUUAAAAUCAGAUAGGUAAACAGGAUUCUCCUGGAUCAUAAGACACCUUGUGGACAUUAAUUUCUUUUCUUGGGUAAGGGCAGAUGGAGUAUGUAAGAAAGAGAUACAGAUAAGAAAGUUAACACUGUUUUACAAGGUUUAUUUGUUUGUCUUUAAUCACCACUUUGAAGCUCAUGGUUGUCUAUCUAUUAUAAAUGCUAGAUUAAUAUUUCUCAUUUGUUCUCAUUAUUCAAAUAUUGAAAUGCAUGAUUUUUAUUGAACAUUUAAAGUAUUUCUAUCAUAAAACUCUAUUAAACUCAUUUUAAAUGGUGUGAAGGGACUAAAUCAGGGACAAGGGAUCCAUUUCUCAGAAAAGGUAGCUGUCUCACUAGAGGGCCUUAAGUUUCCAUUGUUGAAUAUCACUGCCUUUAAAUUGCUGUUGCAGGACAGUUUUUAAGAGCUUUGAUACACACUUAAAGUUGUACUCUAACAGAUUGACAGCUUUGUCAGGUUUUUUCAUUUUUGUCUCAGAAUCAGCUGAUUUUGGUAUCAAUGCCUUCACUUCACUCAUAUAACGUAAUACUCACAAUACAACAGAUCUCAAUUGUUUGAAACAAGGCCAAAAAUUUCAAUUUUCUUAAAGUGUUUGUUUUCACAAAAAAUAGCUCAUUCCAAGACAUAAAAAGUUGUCGAAACAGUCAAUCUGUGUUCGUGCAAAUUUAAAAGUUAGGAAAAGUGAAAGUAAAGAAGUGAAGGUUUGCAUAAAGGUGUCGGCACACAACAAAAUGCUUUCGGUUAUAAUGUAUACCCUCAAGUAGUUAACUUAAAUACCUUGUUUCUCCUCAUUUAGGUAGCAUUUGUUAAUAUGUUUAAUGCUUUCUUGAAUGUAUGUAAAAGUUUUCAUACGAUUUACAUCAUAAUUUAAGACAUUACGCGUUAUAAUGAGGUUUUGAAUGAUAUUUUGCAGGAUUUUCUUUGGUGGAUGGAUUUAGAGAUGAACCCAUAGAUAUGGCCAUUACAGUAUCAAAUGGAUGUUAUAGUGACUUUAAACAAAUGAUGAUAUAAAAAAACAAAACUAUCUUGAUUAGGGUUUCGGGUGUUUAAUAAAUCAACAGACAAUGUGUUCAUAAUUUGUGGAAUAAUAGUGUUCAAGCUUUAAAAAAAUUCUGCGAAUUCGUAAUAUAAAAGGGAAAAGGAGUAAUUUUACAUAAAACAAAAAGGGAAUUUCAUUAUUAAAGAAUCAUGUGUGAUCAUGUAAUUCAUGUUUUAUUUCUCGGUUGUAAUAGAGCAGUUUUCUUAUAUACACACAUGUAAUUGAUAUAAAUCUUAUUUGAAUUUUUUAAUUGGUUCAAUGAAGAAUAAGGUUACGGUUCCUAUUGGUUAACUUAGUUGAUACAGACGUUUGCAUUUCAUUUGGUUCAAUAAACAUGUGAAGGUUUGCCUAGUAACCUAUUUCUGUAUGUGUUACUGACAAAGACUUCUACCUACAGGGCUUCACAGUCUUGGAUGAGAGCAUGGCUUGGGUAACAGAUGCUGGGAGCCAGUCACAAGAGGAGGAGGUCGGGACACAGAUGCUGGGAGCCAGUCACAAGAGGUGGAGGGCGGGACACAGA